CCAUUUCUCGCCAUGGCCCCUGCACUGCUCCUGAUCCCUGCUGCCCUCGCCUCUUUCAUCCUGGCCUUUGGCACCGGAGUGGAGUUCGUGCGCUUUACCUCCCUUCGGCCACUUCUUGGAGGGAUCCCGGAGUCUGGUGGUCCGGAUGCCCGCCAGGGAUGGCUGGCUGCCCUGCAGGACCGCAGCAUCCUUGCCCCCCUGGCAUGGGAUCUGGGGCUCCUGCUUCUAUUUGUUGGGCAGCACAGCCUCAUGGCAGCUGAAAGAGUGAAGGCAUGGACAUCCCGGUACUUUGGGGUCCUUCAGAGGUCACUGUAUGUGGCCUGCACUGCCCUGGCCUUGCAGGUAUGAGGCCCUGGCCUUGCAGGUAUACUACCAUGUGCUGGGGCUGGGCGAGCCUCUGGCCCUGAAGUCUCCCCGGGCUCUCAGACUCUUCUCCCACCUGCGCCACCCAGUGUGUGUGGAGCUGCUGACAGUGCUGUGGGUGGUGCCUACCCUGGGCACGGACCGUCUCCUCCUUGCUUUCCUCCUUACCCUCUACCUGGGCCUGGCUCACGGGCUUGAUCAGCAAGACCUCCGCUACCUCCGGGCCCAGCUACAAAGAAAACUCCACCUGCUCUCUCGGCCCCAGGAUGGGGAGGCAGAGUGAGGAGCUCACUCUGGUUACAAGCCCUGUUCUUCCUCUCCCACUGAAUUCUAAAUCCUUAACAUCCAGGCCCUGGCUGCUUCAUGCCAGAGGCCCAAAUCCAUGGACUGAAGGAGAUGCCCCUUCUACUACUUGAGACUUUAUUCUCUGGGUCCAGCUCCAUACCCUAAAUUCUGAGUUUCAGCCACUGAACUCCAAGGUCCACUUCUCACCAGCAAGGAAGAGUGGGGUAUGGAAGUCAUCUGUCCCUUCACUGUUUAGAGCAUGACACUCUCCCCCUCAACAGCCUCCUGAGAAGGAAAGGAUCUGCCCUGACCACUCCCCUGGCACUGUUACUUGCCUCUGCGCCUCAGGGGUCCCCUUCUGCACCGCUGGCUUCCACUCCAAGAAGGUGGACCAGGGUCUGCAAGUUCAACGGUCAUAGCUGUCCCUCCAGGCCCCAACCUUGCCUCACCACUCCCGGCCCUAGUCUCUGCACCUCCUUAGGCCCUGCCUCUGGGCUCAGACCCCAACCUAGUCAAGGGGAUUCUCCUGCUCUUAACUCGAUGACUUGGGGCUCCCUGCUCUCCCGAGGAAGAUGCUCUGCAGGAAAAUAAAAGUCAGCCUUUUUCUACAUA
rnacentral:misc_RNA from 1 species